rnacentral:rRNA from 1 species
CGGGGUGAGUAAUGUCUGGGAAACUGCCUGAUGGAGGGGGAUAACUACUGGAAGCGGUAGCUAAUACCGCAUAACGUCGCAAGACCAAAGAGGGGGACCUUCGGGCCUCUUGCCAUCGGAUGUGCCCAGAUGGGAUUAGCUAGUAGGUGGGUAACGGCUCACCUAGGCGACGAUCCCUAGCUGGUCUGAGAGGAUGACCAGCCACACUGGAACUGAGACACGGUCCAG